rnacentral:rRNA from 1 species
CCUACGGGUGGCUGCAGUGGGGAAUAUUGGACAAUGGGCGCAAGCCUGAUCCAGCAAUACCGCGUGAAUGAAGAAGGCCUUAGGGUUGUAAAGUUCUUUUAGUUGGGAAGAUAAUGACGGUACUAACAGAAAAAGCCCCGGCUAACUCCGUGCCAGCAGCCGCGGUAAGACGGAGGGGGCUAGCGUUGUUCGGAAUUACUGGGCGUAAAGGGCGCGUAGGCGGAUUAGUAAGUUGGGAGUGAAAUGCCAGGGCUUAACCUUGGAACUGCUCUCAAAACUGCCAUUCUAGAGUAAAGUAGGGGAUAACGGAAUUCCUAGUGUAGAGGUGAAAUUCUUAGAUAUUAGGAGGAACACCGGUGGCGAAGGCGGUUAUCUAGGCUUUAACUGACGCUGAGGCGCGAAAGCGUGGGGAGCAAACAGGAUUAGAUACCCUUGUAGUC